rnacentral:rRNA from 1 species
UCAUUCAAAUUUCUUCCCUAUCAACUUUCGAUGUUUGGGUAUUGGCCAAACAUGGUUGCAACGGGUAACGGAGGGUUAGGGCUCGACCCCGGAGAAGGAGCCUGAGAAACGGCUACUACAUCCAAGGAAGGCAGCAGGCGCGCAAAUUACCCAAUCCCGACACGGGGAGGUAGUGACAAUAAAUACUGAUACAGGGCUCUUUUGGGUCUUGUAAU